CGAGGAUUUUAGUUUUAAUUUAUCUUACUCAUGAAUUUAUUCACGGAGGUGCAAGACACAAAUCGUAUUUUAUAUUUUUCAUUUAACAUGGUCCUCUUGAGACAAAAUAUUGUGUGGCUCAGUUUAAUUUUACUAUUGCUACCAUUUCAUGUGGCAGCUAAUUAUGACAAUACACCACAACCCUCCGAAGAAGACAACUCUUCCUCAGAAGCAACCAUUGAAGAUUCGAACGAAUCGCGCAGCAAGCGAUCCUUAGAGGCUACAAAUGUCGAUAAUAACAACAAAGACGGGGAUGGAAAGUUAAUGACAAGGGCUGGUAUACCAGGAUUACCUGAUCCAAUGACAAUUCUCAAAGUCGCAGAAAUUUUACAAGCUUUGGGUGAGAAAAUUGUACCGAUUAUUGUUGAAGGUAAUUCUGUGGCAAACCUAGUGGCGGAACGGUUAGACAAAAACUAUGCAUUCUUAAAAGAUAUAAAAACAGAAAUAGAUUCUUUGACAUACUAAACUAAGUCAAGGUUGUAAUAAGAAUCAUUUUAUAAAGAAGUGCAAUUUACUUAAUUAAUAAAUACCUUAUACUAAACACAUAUUUUAUAAUAACAUUGGCUUCCAUUAUUUUGGUGUUAUUCUAACUUGCUUACGUAUAUUUAUUUUCAGCUAUUGGAUAAUGUCAUUCUAGACCGUUAAAUAAAGGUGCAUUAAUAAACAUAUAAAUAUUUUAUUUAAUUAGCUUCGAUAUUGGUAUAUGUAUAUGAAAUAUGGUGUAUGCGAGUAACAGUAUAAUAUUAGAAAUAAGGCAUUGAAUUUCAAAAGGAGAGUACAAAUGUUUUAUCAGCACGAAGAAAAGGUUACCAAUUCGCUGUGCUUACUGCGUUUAUGUUAACAACAUGUAUUUCUUUUAAAGUGGAUUAAAAUAAAGUAUUAAAUAAAACUUUAUAUGUUAUCGUAUAA